rnacentral:rRNA from 1 species
UGGGGAAUAUUGUGCAAUGGGGGAAACCCUGACACAGCGACGCCGCGUGAGCGAAGAAGGCCUUCGGGUCGUAAAGCUCAAUAGUAUGGGAAGAAAUAAAUGACGGUACCAUACGAAAGCCCCGGCUAACUACGUGCCAGCAGCCGCGGUAAUACGUAGGGGGCGAGCGUUGUCCGGAAUUACUGGGCGUAAAGAGCACGUAGGCGGCUAUAAAAGUCAGAUGUGAAAAACCUGGGAUCAACCGAGGGUAUGCAUCUGAAACUAAAUAGCUUGAGUCAAGGAGAGGAGAGCGGAAUUCCUGGUGUAGCGGUGAAAUGCGUAGAGAUCAGGAAGAAUACCAGUGGCGAAAGCGGCUCUCUGGACUUGAACUGACGCUGAGGUGCGAAAGCGUGGGGAGCAAACAGG